UUAAGCGACUAAGCGUACACGGUGGAUGCCCUGGCAGUCAGAGGCGAUGAAGGACGUGCUAAUCUGCGAUAAGCGUCGGUAAGGUGAUAUGAACCGUUAUAACCGGCGAUUUCCGAAUGGGGAAACCCAGUGUGUUUCGACACACUAUCAUUAACUGAAUCCAUAGGUUAAUGAGGCGAACCGGGGGAACUGAAACAUCUAAGUACCCCGAGGAAAAGAAAUCAACCGAGAUUCCCCCAGUAGCGGCGAGCGAACGGGGAGGAGCCCAGAGCCUGAAUCAGUGUGUGUGUUAGUGGAAGCGUCUGGAAAGGCGCGCGAUACAGGGUGACAGCCCCGUACACAAAAAUGCACAUAUUGUGAGCUCGAUGAGUAGGGCGGGACACGUGGUAUCCUGUCUGAAUAUGGGGGGACCAUCCUCCAAGGCUAAAUACUCCUGACUGACCGAUAGUGAACCAGUACCGUGAGGGAAAGGCGAAAAGAACCCCGGCGAGGGGAGUGAAAAAGAACCUGAAACCGUGUACGUACAAGCAGUGGGAGCCUCUUUUAUGGGGUGACUGCGUACCUUUUGUAUAAUGGGUCAGCGACUUAUAUUCUGUAGCAAGGUUAACCGAAUAGGGGAGCCGAAGGGAAACCGAGUCUUAACUGGGCGUUAAGUUGCAGGGUAUAGACCCGAAACCCGGUGAUCUAGCCAUGGGCAGGUUGAAGGUUGGGUAACACUAACUGGAGGACCGAACCGACUAAUGUUGAAAAAUUAGCGGAUGACUUGUGGCUGGGGGUGAAAGGCCAAUCAAACCGGGAGAUAGCUGGUUCUCCCCGAAAGCUAUUUAGGUAGCGCCUCGUGAAUUCAUCUCCGGGGGUAGAGCACUGUUUCGGCAAGGGGGUCAUCCCGACUUACCAACCCGAUGCAAACUGCGAAUACCGGAGAAUGUUAUCACGGGAGACACACGGCGGGUGCUAACGUCCGUCGUGAAGAGGGAAACAACCCAGACCGCCAGCUAAGGUCCCAAAGUCAUGGUUAAGUGGGAAACGAUGUGGGAAGGCCCAGACAGCCAGGAUGUUGGCUUAGAAGCAGCCAUCAUUUAAAGAAAGCGUAAUAGCUCACUGGUCGAGUCGGCCUGCGCGGAAGAUGUAACGGGGCUAAACCAUGCACCGAAGCUGCGGCAGCGACACUAUGUGUUGUUGGGUAGGGGAGCGUUCUGUAAGCCUGUGAAGGUGUACUGUGAGGUAUGCUGGAGGUAUCAGAAGUGCGAAUGCUGACAUAAGUAACGAUAAAGCGGGUGAAAAGCCCGCUCGCCGGAAGACCAAGGGUUCCUGUCCAACGUUAAUCGGGGCAGGGUGAGUCGACCCCUAAGGCGAGGCCGAAAGGCGUAGUCGAUGGGAAACAGGUUAAUAUUCCUGUACUUGGUGUUACUGCGAAGGGGGGACGGAGAAGGCUAUGUUGGCCGGGCGACGGUUGUCCCGGUUUAAGCGUGUAGGCUGGUUUUCCAGGCAAAUCCGGAAAAUCAAGGCUGAGGCGUGAUGACGAGGCACUACGGUGCUGAAGCAACAAAUGCCCUGCUUCCAGGAAAAGCCUCUAAGCAUCAGGUAACAUCAAAUCGUACCCCAAACCGACACAGGUGGUCAGGUAGAGAAUACCAAGGCGCUUGAGAGAACUCGGGUGAAGGAACUAGGCAAAAUGGUGCCGUAACUUCGGGAGAAGGCACGCUGAUAUGUAGGUGAAGUCCCUCGCGGAUGGAGCUGAAAUCAGUCGAAGAUACCAGCUGGCUGCAACUGUUUAUUAAAAACACAGCACUGUGCAAACACGAAAGUGGACGUAUACGGUGUGACGCCUGCCCGGUGCCGGAAGGUUAAUUGAUGGGGUCAGCGCAAGCGAAGCUCUUGAUCGAAGCCCCGGUAAACGGCGGCCGUAACUAUAACGGUCCUAAGGUAGCGAAAUUCCUUGUCGGGUAAGUUCCGACCUGCACGAAUGGCGUAAUGAUGGCCAGGCUGUCUCCACCCGAGACUCAGUGAAAUUGAACUCGCUGUGAAGAUGCAGUGUACCCGCGGCAAGACGGAAAGACCCCGUGAACCUUUACUAUAGCUUGACACUGAACAUUGAGCCUUGAUGUGUAGGAUAGGUGGGAGGCUUUGAAGUGUGGACGCCAGUCUGCAUGGAGCCGACCUUGAAAUACCACCCUUUAAUGUUUGAUGUUCUAACGUGGACCCGUAAUCCGGGUUGCGGACAGUGUCUGGUGGGUAGUUUGACUGGGGCGGUCUCCUCCUAAAGAGUAACGGAGGAGCACGAAGGUUGGCUAAUCCUGGUCGGACAUCAGGAGGUUAGUGCAAUGGCAUAAGCCAGCUUGACUGCGAGCGUGACGGCGCGAGCAGGUGCGAAAGCAGGUCAUAGUGAUCCGGUGGUUCUGAAUGGAAGGGCCAUCGCUCAACGGAUAAAAGGUACUCCGGGGAUAACAGGCUGAUACCGCCCAAGAGUUCAUAUCGACGGCGGUGUUUGGCACCUCGAUGUCGGCUCAUCACAUCCUGGGGCUGAAGUAGGUCCCAAGGGUAUGGCUGUUCGCCAUUUAAAGUGGUACGCGAGCUGGGUUUAGAACGUCGUGAGACAGUUCGGUCCCUAUCUGCCGUGGGCGCUGGAGAAUUGAGGGGGGCUGCUCCUAGUACGAGAGGACCGGAGUGGACGCAUCACUGGUGUUCGGGUUGUCAUGCCAAUGGCACUGCCCGGUAGCUAAAUGCGGAAGAGAUAAGUGCUGAAAGCAUCUAAGCACGAAACUUGCCCCGAGAUGAGUUCUCCCUGACCCUUUAAGGGUCCUGAAGGAACGUUGAAGACGACGACGUUGAUAGGCCGGGUGUGUAAGCGCAGCGAUGCGUUGAGCUAACCGGUACUAAUGAACCGUGAGGCUUAACCUU
rnacentral:rRNA from 1 species